UUUUUUCUUUUUCCUCCUCCACGCCACUUCUCUUUCUAAAUUCUCAAAUUCUCACAUCUAAAAAAACAAGCCAUUGUCAUCUCAUCCAUCUCUUUAACAAGGUCUGUAUUUAAUUACUACUGUUGACAUUUUACAUUUAUUUAAUACUUUAUUCAUUGUUAAAAUCUUUUUUUAGUUAGAUUUAUUUUGAUAAUUUUUCCAAAUCAUCAAAGACGAGGAGGCAAAGACAAGCAAUUGGCUAUGUUCUCAAUAACAAUUGGUGAUGGAGGUAUAAAUUAUGUCCAGGAUUUGACUUUGACUUAUUUUACAAAUUGGACCUAAAGAAAAUAAGGCAAUGUUUUUCUUCUUUUAACUAAUUUUAUUUUGCUAUUAGCAUUUGGUCUUUAUUUACUAUGAUAGUUUUGUUGUAUAUACAUGAUAAUGUAGACAAAGUUUAGGGAUAUCAGAUGUGGCAUUUAAAUUGGUACUACAAGGUAUGUCCUGAGAUGCAACCUAUAAAUUAUUAUUUUCUUAAUAAAUAAUUCUUGAAUUUGAAGAACAUGCAUAGUCAUUAACAAAGUGAAUGAAUAAUAUAUUGUUUGGUAUUAUAUUACUUUUAUAUAUAUGUAUCUUGUAUUUUAUUAAGUUAUUAUUUAUUAUUUUAACUUUACCUUGGAUGGAUUUUUUUUCUUAUAUAUGUUAUCUUUGUGUUUAUUGUAGGAUAAGUUGGAGGUCGAUGCCUCUAAUGUAUUAGUUUGGAAGCAUAUGAAGAAGUCAAUAAGAGACAACUUCAAGCAAUUUUUAUCACAACUAGAAAAAGCAUUUGAAGAGUAAUUCGCCAUUUAACGAAUUCAUCGAUAAAGAUCAAGGACCAAGACAAUUAGUUAUCUUUUUCAAUUUUUUCAAUGUAUUACUUUAAAUCAUUGACAUUUGUACAUUUUGUAAUUGAAUUUGUAUGAUAAGUUUGUAAAAUUUUUUAACUAUCUUUUUUAUUUAAUCUUACUAUAAUUUGCACA
rnacentral:lncRNA from 1 species